CUUUAAAUAAUUACUUGUCUUGCAUGUAUGCAUGUCUAAGCGUGUGCUCUUUUAUUUUAUCUCUUUCUUUCUAAAACUUAGAGAUCUAAAUUCUUCAAUUAAAAUUGUGACUAUUAAAGUCCGCUUUAAUUAUUCUUCGAAAAGCUAUCUCACACGGCUUAAUAAAUUUCUUUCUUCCGUGGCUUAGGGAAAUCAAAUCCCAUGGACUAAAUUCUAUUAUGGCCGGUGGUCCAUAAAACUUAACGUGGACCAGCUAUUUAAAGAUUUAUUUUCUGGCCCAGAAUGUAUCCCCUUUUUCUUUUCUUAGCAAAAUGGCCCAGCUUCCUUCGUUUCUGUUUUUAUUCACUGAGGCCCAAAGCAAUUAACUGGGCAUGGCCCAAUUACUGCCAAAACAUUCUCCCUUCUCCAUCGGCUAUUCAAUUCUUCCUCAUUCUUUUUCAAGCAAAAACCCCCAAAUUGAAAUGAGAAUCCCUAGAUUCCACACCACCGCUGUGGUGCGCGCGGCAGCUCGCCGUCGAGGCCCUUAUCGUCGCUGUUUCUGUCUCUCAGCCGUCGCCGGGUUAGUCUUCGCCUCCGGUCUCGGCUGCACGUGAUGCGCUACGGCCUGAGCCGCUGCUGUCACGGAGACCUCGCCGUGUUCGUCGCUGGACUCCGUCCGCCGUUCAGCCCACCAGCGCUGGAGCUCUGCGGAUUCGAGCCGUCGUCAGCGUAGGAGAGAGGGCAUCACCUCCGGGACUUCCUGGACACGUGUACAGCGAGGUAGCAUUCGGCACCGUCGUCGUUCCCCAAUCGACUACCGAGCUCACCUUCUCGUCUCAAACUAAGUUCCCUUUCUUAGUUCUUAUUAAAUGAACCCCCCCUUGAAGGUUGGUAGCCUUAGGGUUUUUCUACUUCAUUGUUGGGAGUGUUGUUGGAGACGAUGGGACUCGUUCAUUGCGUUUAGGCGAAAAGAAUUCAAACCUAGUAGCCCAUGUUCUCAUUUAUGGCAGUAGCUACAUUUAAGGUUCUAUCUUAAGUGAUUUGCUAGAUUCAACAUUAGUUCUAUAAGCUUUGUUCUAUGCUUCGCUAUUUCCCUCAAUCUUAAGGUAUGUUCUUUUUUUUUUUUUUUUUUUUGAUAACGUGGGAACCCGCAGCCGCAACCCUUAGGGGGCGCACUGGGUAAACCCCCGGCCCUGUGCAAUAGCCUGCAAACCACACAGAACGGUUAAACCAACCUAGGUUGCCCAUAGCUGACAGGCUCACAGCUCAGGAGGCCAAGAGACUGCCCUUUGCAGGGCUCGAACUCAUAACCUCACGGUUACAAGCCUUUCACAGCCUCGACCAACUGAGCUGGGGGUUGCCCCCAUCUUAAGGGUGUACAUAGGGGAGCUGGGGCGGUUGGAGGAGAACGUGGCUGCCCAGCUGCUGUCUCUGCGACGGGUUCGUUGCCUCGGCCAUCGUGCUCGCUGCCCGGAAUCGACGGGUGCACGGGCCGCGGUGGGUGCGGUUUGGCUCGGGGAAAAGAAAUAGAUCCCCAACGUUUUCUCCCCUUAGCAUUCUUAUGUAUUUUUCUUUAUUUUCAUCGUCAAAAUUUGUAAUACACUAUUUAAAUUGGAAAUUCUAAAUAUCGUGUUUUGUUUA